GACGAACGCUGGCGGCGUGCCUAAUACAUGCAAGUCGAACGAAACUUCUUUAUCAUCGAGUGCUUGCACUCACCGAUAAAGAGUUGAGUGGCGAACGGGUGAGUAACACGUGGGCAACCUGCCCGAAAGAGGGGGAUAACACUUGGAAACAGGUGCUAAUACCGCAUAACCAUGAACACCGCAUGGUGUUCAUGGGAAAGGUGGUUUCGGCUACCGCCUUCGGAUGGGCACGCGGCGCAUUAGCUAGUUGGUGGGGUAAAGGCUUACCAAGGCAAGUAUGCGUAGCCGAACUGAGAGGUUGAUCGGCCACAUUGGGACUGAGACACGGCCCAAACUCCUACGGGAGGCAGCAGUAGGGAAUCUUCCACAACGGGCGAAAGCCUGAUGGAGCAACGCCGCGUGGGUGAAGAAGGUCUUCGGAUCGUAAAACCCUGUUGUCAGAGAAGAAAGUGCAUGAGAGUAACUGUUCAUGUUUCGACGGUAUCUGACCAGAAAGCCACGGCUAACUACGUGCCAGCAGCCGCAGUAA
rnacentral:rRNA from 1 species